rnacentral:rRNA from 1 species
GAUGAACGCUAGCUACAGGCUUAACACAUGCAAGUCGCGGGGCAGCAUGGUGGUUGCUUGCAGUCCCCGAUGGCGACCGGCGCACGGGUGAGUAACGCGUAUCCAACCUGCCCUUCACCACGCGAUAACCCGGCGAAACUCGGACUAAUACCGUAUGUUGUCCAUUGACGGCCUCCGAUUUAGAUGAAAGGCUUGGCGGUGAGGGAUUGGGAUGUGUCCGAUUAGCCGGACGGCUGGGUAACGGACCACCGUGUCUACGAUCGGUAGGGGUUCUGAGAGGAAGGUCCCCCACAGGGGAACUGAGAACAGGUCCAGACACAUACGGGAGGCAGCAGUAAGGGAGAUUGGUCAAUGGGCGUAAGCCUGAACCAGGCAAGUAGCGUGCAGGAAGACGGCCCUAUGGGUUGUAAACUGCUUUUAUGCGGGGAUAAAGGGGCCUACGUGUGGGUUUUUGCAGGUAACGCAUGAAUAAGGACCGGCUAAUUCCGUG